CAGACGGGUGGCAGAAGGGAGGAAGAGGGGACAAGGGACGGAAGUCUGAACCAGCCAUGCCGCGUGCAGGAAGACGGCUCUAUGAGUUGUAAACUGCUUUUGUACAAGGGUAAACCUGAAUACGUGUAUUCAGCUGAAAGUACUGUACGAAUAAGGAUCGGCUAACUCCGUGCCAGCAGCCGCGGUAAUACGGAGGAUCCAAGCGUUAUCCGGAUUUAUUGUGUUUACAGGGUGCGUAGGCGGAUUGAUAAGUUAGAGGUGAAAUGUCCGAGCUUAACUCGGGAACUGCCUCUAAUACUGUUGAUCUAGAGAGUAGAUGCGGUAGGCGGAAUGUAUGGUGUAGCGGUGAAAUGCUUAGAGAUCAUACAGAACACCGAUUGCGAAGGCAGCUUACCAAUCUAUAUCUGACGUUGAGGCACGAAAGCGUGGGGAGCAAACAGGAUUAGAUACCCUUGUAGUC
rnacentral:rRNA from 1 species